CAGUAACAGCCCCAACGGUGGCUGUUGCUGACGUCACACAGGGAAAAGAAAAAAAAAUAGGGAUGACCCUGUUCUUCUUCGAUUCGACGGCUGGCCGUUGUUUGUCGGUGAAUAAACGAUCUCCAGGUAAGGAAGAAAGGUAGGGAAGGAGCUUACCUUGCUCCGGCGGUUGAGAAGAGCUCCGACGAACCCCUUUUUCCCAUCUAAGAACCCGCGGAUCCUC
rnacentral:lncRNA from 1 species